UUUUAACGAGAGUUUGAUCCUGGCUCAGGAUGAACGCUGGCGGCGUGCCUAACACAUGCAAGUCGAGCGAAGCGCUUAAGUUGGAUUCUUCGGAUGACGACUUUAGUGACUGAGCGGCGGACGGGUGAGUAACGCGUGGGCAACCUGCCUCGCACAGGGGGAUAACAGUUAGAAAUGACUGCUAAUA
rnacentral:rRNA from 1 species